rnacentral:rRNA from 1 species
GUUGGCUUGGAAGCAGCCAUUCAUUUAAAGAGUGCGUAACAGCUCACUAGUCGAGGAGUUUGGCGUGGAUAAUAAUCGGGCAUUAAGUGUUUUACCGAAGCUAUGGGAUCAGUAAUGAUCGGUAGGGGAGCAUUCCACUCUGCGUCGAAGGUGAAGCGUGAGCUUUGCUGGAGCGUGUGGAAAAGCAAAUGUAGGUAUAAGUAACGAUAAAGGGGGUGGGAAACCCCCUCGCCGAAAGACUAAGGUUUCCUGAUCAACGCUAAUCGGAUCAGGGUCAGUCGGGUCCUAAGGCUCAGCCGAACGGCGAUGCCGAUGGCAGAAACGGGUAAUAUUCCGUUACUACCUUCAGGAGUGACGUGGAGACGCAGUAGGGACAGUGCCGCCAUCUGACGGAAUAGAUGGUUGAAGGGUGUAGGAGUCGAUCAUGGCAGGCAAAUCCACCAUGAGAUCCGAACCUGAUAGUAUGCCGCGUCCUUCGGGACAAGGCAAUAGUGCGCGUAAGCAUGCUGCCGAGAAAAUCCGCUAAACUUAAUCCUGCAGGUACCCGUACCGCAAACGGACACACGUAGUCGGGUUGAAUAUACUAAGGCGCUUGAGUGAUUCACGGUUAAGGAACUAGGCAAACUGACCCUGUAACUUCGGGAUAAAGGGUCCCUACCCUUUUAUGGGAGGGCGCAGAGAAUCGGUCCAGGCAACUGUUUAACAAAAACACAGGGCUGUGCCAAAUCGAAAGAUCCAGUAUACAGCCUGACACCUGCCCGGUGCUGGAAGGUUAAGAGGAGAUGUCAUCGAUAAGAGAAGCGUUGAAUUGAAGCCCCAGUAAACGGCGGCCGUAACUAUAACGGUCCUAAGGUAGCGAAAUUCCUUGUCGGGUAAGUUCCGACCUGCACGAAUGGUGUAAUGAUCUGGACGCUGUCUCAACCGUGAGCUCAGUGAAAUUGUAGUAUCGGUGAAGAUGCCGAUUACCCGCGAUGGGACGAAAAGACCCCGUGAACCUUUACUAUAGCUUAUCAUUGAAUCUGGGCACGUGAUGUGUAGGAUAGGUCGGAGGCUUUGAAGCAGGUACGCCAGUAUUUGUGGAGCCGCUGUUGAAAUACGACCCUUUAUUUGUUUGGAUUCUAACCCGUGGAUACGGGGACAUUGAUUGGUGGGUAGUUUGACUGGGGUGGUCGCCUCCAAAAGCGUAACGGAGGCUUCUAAAGGUGCCCUCCGGCCGAUUGGUAACCGGCCUUAGAGUGUAAUGGCAUAAGGGCGCUUGACUGGGAGACUGACAAGUCGAUCAGGUAGGAAACUAGAGCAUAGUGAUCCGGUGUUUCCGUAUGGAA